GAUGAACGCUGGCGGCGUGCCUAACACAUGCAAGUCGAGCGAACAGACGAGGAGUUUGCUCCUCUGACGUUAGCGGCGGACGGGUGAGUAACACGUGGAUAACCCACCUAUAAGACUGGGAUAAUUUCGGGAAACCGGAGCUAAUACCGGAUAAUAUAUUGAACCGCAUGGUUCAAUAGUGAAAGACGGUUUUGCUGUCACUUAUAGAUGGAUCCGCGCCGCAUUAGCUAGUUGGUAAGGUAACGGCUUACCAAGGCAACGAUGCGUAGCCGACCUGAGAGGGUGAUCGGCCACACUGGAACGGAGACACGGUCCAGACUCCUACGGGAGGUAGCAGUAGGGAAUCUUCCGCAAUGGGCGAAAGCCUGACGGAGCAACGCCGCGUGAGUGAUGAAGGUCUUCGGAUCGUAAAACUCUGUUAUUAGGGAAGAACAAAUGUGUAAGUAACUAUGCACGUCUUGACGGUACCUAAUCAGAAAGCCACGGCUAACUACGUG
rnacentral:rRNA from 1 species